UAGUAUGGGGAUCUGCCCGAUAGAGGGGGAUAACUACUGGAAACGGUGGCUAAUACUGCAUAAUGUCUACGGACCAAAGCAGGGGCUCUUCGGACCUUGCACUAUCGGAUGAACCCAUAUGGGAUUAGCUAGUAGGUGGGGUAAAGGCUCACCUAGGCGACGAUCUCUAGCUGGUCUGAGAGGAUGAUCAGCCACACUGGGACUGAGACACGGCCCAG
rnacentral:rRNA from 1 species